rnacentral:lncRNA from 1 species
CAGGGUGGUUCUAUAUACACCCCCCCUAUUGCUCAGGACACCCCCCAAAAAUUAAAAAAAAAUUAAAUACUCUCUACACCCCCCCAUUUGCUAAGGACACCCCUAAAAAAUUAAAAUUCCUAAAUUACCCCCCACCCUCCCCACCCCCUCACCUAAAUUGCUCUCUACACCCCCUCGCCUCAAGCACCUCGCCGGCGGCCAAACCCCCUCCGUCUCCCUUUGAACUGUUCCGCCCAAAGCACCUCGCCAACGCCCAAAACCCUCCCGUUCCCCCUUCUCCC